rnacentral:misc_RNA from 1 species
CAAAGGCCUGAUUCAGGAGCAGUCCCGAGUCGCCUGUAAAAUCAAGAUCAAGAUCAAGAAGGCUACAUAGGGCCAGACGGUACAGUGAGCGCUGGUUUGGUCCUGACACGGGAACGGUUGUGGUGUUUACGUCGCUGCGGGACACGUUGGCGGUGCAGACUGGCGGCCUUGAAUUAACACCAUCAUGGCAGAACCAGUAACUGAGGAGUACACGUACAUAGUAGUUGGUGGAGGCAUUGCUGGUGUCACCUGUGCUGAACAUCUGUAUAUUCUGCACCCUGAGGCCCAGACAUUGGUUCUUACUGCCUCACCACUCAUAAAGGCUGUCACUAAUGUGCUACCACUCACCAAAACCCUUGACACCUUUGAGGUGGAAGAGCAUGAUCCUAAUACUCUACAGAGCAAGUGCCCAAGUGUGUCCGUGAUACGAGAUUUUGUGGCUCAUCUAGAUGUGGAGAAGCAACUUGUGCACACCUCCACUGGCAGGUGCUUUUCCUAUCAAAAAUUAUGUGUCUGCACGGGUGCCACUCCCAAACUGUUGGCGGAGAGAGGACCCCAUGUUGUCUGGCUGAGAGACACCGAGUCAGCACAGCAAUUUCAGGCACAGAUUAAAGAUGCUAGAAGAAUUAUGAUUGUGGGUAACGGAGGAAUUGCAACGGAGAUGGUCUAUGAGGUUACAGGUGUGGAAGUCAUUUGGGCCAUGAAGGACAAGCACAUGACUGCACACUUCAUUGAUCCAGGAGCAGCAGAGUUCAUGCAGCCUGAACUGCUCAAGGAGAAGGAUGAGGGACCCACCGUAAGCAAAAGGAGAAAAUACACUGUGGAACAUUCUUCUCAGCUUUCAGGAACAUCUUUAGUUGGAGGAUCACUGGGGCCUGACUGGCACUCUGGACUCAAACUGAAAGGAAAAACUGAACGCAAAAUCAUCAUGGAAAAAGAAGUUGAAGUGAAGAGGAUCUUUGAACCAAUGGAAGUCACACAGUUGCAAGAAAUGGUAACUUAUUUGAAUUCCGAAGAAGGAGAGUGGCCUGUUUAUGUUGAACUGACAAAUGGGAAGAUUUAUGGCUGUGAUUUCAUUGUAUCAGCAAUAGGAGUGACACCCAAUGUCUCAGCUGUUACCUCAGGGAAUAAGUUUGCCUUAGGUGAAGAUGGUGGGCUGCUGAUCGAUGAGAAAAUGAGAACAUCAGAAAAGAACAUUUUUGCAGCAGGAGACGUGUGCUCACCAGGCUGGCAAAUUGCUCCUCAUUGGUUUCAAAUGCGUCUUUGGACUCAAGCACGGCAGAUGGGAUCCUAUGCAGCUAAGUGCAUGUGGUCAUCCCAAGCUGGGGAAGAGAUCUACAUGGACUUCUGCUUUGAAUUGUUCUCCCAUGCCACCAAGUUUUUUGGACACAAAGUUAUCCUCUUGGGGCUUUUCAAUGGACAGGGUUUGGAUGGAAAGUAUGAAAUUUUACUGCGAUACACACGAGGUAUGGAAUACAUAAAAUGUGUGAUGGUGGAGGGCAGAAUGCAAGGAGCAGUGCUUAUUGGAGAAACAGACCUGGAGGAGACUUUUGAAAACUUAAUCCUCAACCAGAUGGACCUAUCAGAGUAUGGAGAGGACCUCCUGAAUCCAGAUAUUGACAUUGAAGACUACUUUGACUGAUGAUUGCCAGAGCAAGUUCAGAGUACUUGUAUGAAGAAGGGUGGUUAGCACAGUUACCAGCUUAGAAACUGGUAUGGAAUAUGAGCAAAUGACAGAAGUCUGGAAAACAACCCUGAAGAAAUCUACUAUCCAUAAAGAUGAAUCUCCACAAUCACUUUCAAGAUAAUUAAAAUACACGGAGGAAAUAAAACUAAAUCCAUUACUACACAUCAGUGAACAACAGUCCCAAUCUAAUAUUGUAACUAUAUGAUGACUGUAUCUGCUAUUUCGAUAAAUUUUCUUAUACAACCCCUGA